ACCAAAUCCCCUGUACACAUAUACGGACUCAGAGGAUGAGCAGCCUACAAAAAAACGGUUUCCCCAGGCCCCUCGAGUGAAAAUACCAGCCCUCACCACUCCGCAGUCUGCCCCCCAGCCCACUGAUAGCAACCAUCAUAAUGCCCCACCCAGCUUCCGGCACCUUUCGCCACUCCGGCACAAACCGACACAGCUUUGCGAUCUCCCCAGCAUGCAGAGUCUGAUGUCUUCCCUAUAGAUGAUUCCAGAGACUCUGUGAGGCCACUAUUGCAAGGUGAGACGCUUUGCGUUGAUUGGUGCUGCUGGACCACACUGGAGGUGCGAGUCCGCCGUGUAAUGGUUUAUGCCAUUACAAAGGAGCUGGCCUCUGUACUCAACUGGGCAGGGAAAAAAUACCAAGGACCAGACAAAGCAAAAAAGGGCAUUUAAAGAGACAGCGCUGUGCAGAUGCAUAUUUGAUGGCCUGGCGCAGCAGGUAGGGGCGAACUCUAUGUCUGAGUUGGUCUUUGCUCAAGCAGUCCAGAAAUGGCUCAGAUAUGCUCCAGAUCGUACGGGUGGCACGC